UACGGGGGGGGCAAGCGUUUGUUCGGAAUUACUGGGCGUAAAGGGCUCGUAGGCGGCCAACUAAGUCGGAUGUGAAAUCCCCAAGCUUAACUUGGGAACUGCAUCCGAUACUGGAUGGCUUGAAUCCGGGAGAGGGAUGCAGAAUUCCAGGUGUAGCGGUGAAAUGCGUAGAUAUCUGGAGGAAUACCGGUGGCGAAGGCGGCAUCCUGGACCGGCAUUGACGCUGAGGAGCGAAAGCUAGGGGAGCAAACGGG
rnacentral:rRNA from 1 species